rnacentral:rRNA from 1 species
AUUCCAGCUCCAAUAGCGUAUAUUAAAGUUGUUGCAGUUAAAAAGCUCGUAGUUGGAUUUCUGGCAGGAGUGACUGACCACAAACUCUGUUUGUGAGUUGUGUCAUUCUGGCCAUCCUUGGUAAGAUCCUUUUUGGCAUUAAGUUGUCGGGAAGGGGAUGACCAUCGUUUACUGUGAAAAAAUUAGAGUGUUUAAAGCAGGCUUAUGCCGUUGAAUAUAUUAGCAUGGAAUAAUAAGAUAGGACUUUGGCGUCUAUUUUGUUGGUUUGCACACCAAGGUAAUGAUUAAUAGGGAUAGUUGGGGGUAUUCGUAUUUAAUUGUCAGAGGUGAAAUUCUUGGAUUUAUGAAAGACGAACUUCUGCGAAAGCAUUUACCAAAGAUGUUUUCAUCA